rnacentral:piRNA from 1 species
UGAGUGUGCAUCGGAUGCUCUGUUCC